UACGGAGGGAGCUAGCGUUGUUCGGAAUUACUGGGCGUAAAGCGCGCGUAGGCGGCUUUGUAAGUUAGAGGUGAAAGCCCGGAGCUCAACUCCGGAACUGCCUUUAAAACUGCAUCGCUUGAAUCCAGGAGAGGUGAGUGGAAUUCCGAGUGUAGAGGUGAAAUUCGUAGAUAUUCGGAAGAACACCAGUGGCGAAGGCGGCUCGCUGGACUGGUAUUGACGCUGAGGUGCGAAAGCGUGGGGAGCAAACAGG
rnacentral:rRNA from 1 species